GUGGGGAAUCUUCCACAAUGGACGAAAGUCUGAUGGAGCAACGCCGCGUGAGUGAAGAAGGGUUUCGGCUCGUAAAGCUCUGUUGUCGGGGACGAAUGUGCAGUAUUUGAAUAAAGUACUGUAAUGACGGUACCUGACGAGGAAGCCACGGCUAACUACGUGCCAGCAGCCGCGGUAAUACGUAGGUGGCAAGCGUUGUCCGGAAUUAUUGGGCGUAAAGGGAGCGCAGGCGGGAAGGUAAGUCGGUCUUAAAAGUGCGGGGCUCAACCCCGUGAUGGGAUCGAAACUAUCUUUCUUGAGUGCAGGAGAGGAAAGUGGAAUUCCUAGUGUAGCGGUGAAAUGCGUAGAUAUUAGGAGGAACACCAGUGGCGAAGGCGACUUUCUGGACUGUAACUGACGCUGAGGCUCGAAAGCCAGGGGAGCGAACGGGAUUAGAUACCCCUGUAGUCC
rnacentral:rRNA from 1 species